rnacentral:rRNA from 1 species
UACGGAGGGUGCAAGCGUUGUCCGGAUUCACUGGGUGUAAAGGGCGUGUAGGCGGAAGGACAAGUCGUCGGUGAAAGUGGACCGCUUAACGGUUUCAAGUGCCGAUGAAACUAUUUUUCUUGAGUGUGUCAUGGGGUACUGGAAUUCCCGGUGUAGCGGUGGAAUGCGUAGAGAUCGGGAGGAACACCAGUGGCGAAGGCGGGUACCUGGGGCACAACUGACGCUGAGACGCGAAAGUGCGGGGA